AUUUAUUUAGGAGUUUAGGUUAUAUAAACCAGGAGCCUUCAAAGCUCCAAAAAAGACAUUGGCUUAUCUCCUG
rnacentral:tRNA from 1 species